CCUGGCGGCUUUAACGGUAAAGAGUCUGCCUGCAAUGCAGGAGUCCUGGGUUUGAUCCCUGUGUCAGGA
rnacentral:tRNA from 1 species